UGAAGGUGAACAAGAAAGAAACACAAAACCAACCUCCGAAAAAUGCCGCUCAAUCUGGUUGGCGAACUUUGAAGAACAAUUGAGAGGGAAUCAUUAAUGGCAAAGGCGAGGCCUAAGCAAAUAUGAAUGGUCCUGAAAAAGAUGGAAGUCAACAUGGGUGAGAGAAGACCAUUGGAAUUGUGGACUAUCGACUAGAUAUAAGGGCGUGCUUCAGUAUUUAAGAGCUAAAAACUAUUGUGUUGAAGUUAGCUGAAAAUAAUCACAGCUCCCUUUCCAAUAAAACAUUGACAUCCAAAAAUUAUGCAACGGACAACAAGAAAAUGAUGAUCGAUGUUGAAAAGAUGGUAG